GUACCGUGAGGGAAAGGUGAAAAGCACCCCGACGAGGGGAGUGAAACAGUACCUGAAACCGAACGCCUACAAGCAGUUGGAGGAUCCUUUAUUGAGAUCUGACAGCGUACCUUUUGUAUAAUGGGUCAACGACUUGGUCUAUCUAGCAAGCUUAAGCCGUUAGGUGUAGGCGCAGCGAAAGCGAGUCUUAAUAGGGCGACUUAGUUAGAUGGAUCAGACCCGAAACCGAGUGAUCUAGGCAUGAGCAGGAUGAAGGUUAGGUAACACUAACUGGAGGUCCGAACCCACACCUGUUGAAAAAGGUCGGGAUGACUUGUGCCUAGGGGUGAAAGGCCAAUCAAACUCGGAGAUAGCUGGUUCUCCGCGAAAUCUAUUUAGGUAGAGCGUCAGACGAAUACCACCGGGGGUAGAGCACUGGAUGGGUAAUGGGGUCCCACAGACUUACUGAUCCUAACCAAACUCCGAAUACCGGUGAGUACUAUCUGGCAGACACACUGCGGAUGCUAACGUCCGUCGUGAAGAGGGAAACAACCCUGACCUCCAGCUAAGGCCCCUAAUUCAUGGCUAAGUGGGAAAGCAUGUGAGACGACCAAAACAACCAGGAUGUUGGCUUAGAAGCAGCCAUCAUUUAAAGAAAGCGUAAUAGCUCACUGGUCUAGAUAAGUUGUCUUGCGGCGAAGAUGUAACGGGGCUCAAGCCAUGAGCCGAAGCUGAGGAUAUGCACUAUGUGCAUGUGGUAGCGGAGCGUUCUGUAUGCGGUGAAGGAGAAGGGUGACCGACUCUGGAGCGUACAGAAGUGAGAAUGUUGACAUGAGUAGCGAUAAACAGGGUGAGAGACCCUGUCGCCGUAAGUCCAAGGGUUCCUGCUUAAAGCUAAUCUGAGCAGGGUAAGCCGACCCCUAAGGCGAGGCCGAAAGGCGUAGUCGAUGGGAACCAGGUUAAUAUUCCUGGGCCAGGAGGAAGUGACGGAUCGAAAGCGUAGUUAUCCCUUAUUGGAUUGGGGUAGCUGCCGGACGGUUCCUGGAAAUAGCCCUCCGUAAGAUCGUACCCUAAACCGACACAGGUGGACUGGUAGAGUAUACCAAGGCGCUUGAGAGAACCACGUUAAAGGAACUCGGCAAAAUGCCUCCGUAAGUUCGCGAGAAGGAGGCCCCAUCUGUAGGCAACUAUGGGUGGGGGGCACAAACUAGGGGGUGGCGACUGUUUACUUAAAACACAGGGCUGUGCGAAGCCGUAAGGCGACGUAUACAGUCUGACGCCUGCCCGGUGCUGGAAGAUUAAGAGGAGGGGUGCAAGCUCUGAAUUGAAGUCCCAGUAAACGGCGGCCGUAACUAUAACGGUCCUAAGGUAGCGAAAUUCCUUGUCGGGUAAGUUCCGACCUGCACGAAUGGCGUAACGAUCUCCCCGCUGUCUCAAAUGUGGACUCAGCGAAAUUGAACUGUGUGUCAAGAUGCACACUACCCGCGGUUAGACGGAAAGACCCCAUGCACCUUUACUCCAGCUUUGCACUGGUAUCAGGAUUGUGAUGUGCAGGAUAGGUGGUAGGCAUCGAAGCAGGGACGCUAGUUCUUGUGGAGCCUCCCUUGAGAUACCACCCUUCGCACUCUUGAUAUCUAACCGCGGCCCGUUAUCCGGGUCCGGGACCCUGCAUGGUGGGGAGUUUGACUGGGGCGGUCGCCUCCUAAACAGUAACGGAGGCGCGCGAUGGUUGGCUCAGACCGGUCGGAAAUCGGUCGUUGAGUGCAAUGGCAGAAGCCAGCCUGACUGCAAGUCUGACAAGACGAGCAGAGACGAAAGUCGGUCAUAGUGAUCCGGUGGUCCCAAGUGGGAGGGCCAUCGCUCAACGGAUAAAAGGUACGCUGGGGAUAACAGGCUGAUG
rnacentral:rRNA from 1 species